GCUGCAUGGACUGUCGUCAGCUCGUGCCGUGAGGUGUCGGCUUAAGUGCCAUACGAGCGCAACCCUCAUCAUUAGUUACCAUCAGGUAAGGCUGGGGACUCUAAUGAGACUGCCAUCGUAAGAUGUGAGGAAGGUGGGGAUGACGUCAAAUCAGCACGGCCCUUACGUCCGGGCGACACACGUGUUACAAUGGGUGGUACAAAGGGCAGCUACCUGGCGACAGGAUGCUAAUCUCGAAAACCGCUCUCAGUUCGGAUCGGAGUCUGCAACUCGACUCCGUGAAGCUGGAUUCGCUAGUAAUCGCGCAUCAGCCACGGCGCGGUGAAUACGUUCCCGGGCCUU
rnacentral:rRNA from 1 species